CGGGGUGCACCAGGCGCGAAAACUUUACAAUGCUGGCAACAGCGAUAAGGGGACCUCGAGUGCCAGGAUACAAUCUUGGCUGUCGCGAUGCCUAAAAAGCAUUGCAUAGCAAGGGCCGGGCAAGACCGGUGCCAGCCGCCGCGGUAACACCGGCGGCUCGAGUGGUAACCGCUAUUAUUGGGUCUAAAGGGUCUGUAGCCGGCCGGAUAAGUCUUUUGGGAAAUCCAGCUGCUUAACAGUUGGGCUUUCAGAAGAUACUGUUCGGCUCGAGACCGGGAGAGGUGAGAGGUACUUCAGGGGUAGGGGUGAAAUCUUGUAAUCCUUGAAGGACCACCAGUGGCGAAGGCGUCUCACCAGAACGGAUCUGACGGCAAGGGACGAAAGCUAGGGGCACGAACCGGAUUAGAUACCCGGGUAGUCCUAGCCGUAAACGAUACUCGCUAGGUGUCAGCCACGGUGCGACCGUGGUUGGUGCCGUAGGGAAGCCGUGAAGCGAGCCACCUGGGAAGUACGGCCGCAAGGCUGAAACUUAAAGGAAUUGGCGGGGGAGCACAAGGGCGAUUCGCG
rnacentral:rRNA from 1 species